UACUAGAGUAGCACUCGCAUAUCAAUAAGCGGAGGAAAAGAAACUAACAAGGAUUCCCCUAGUAACGGCGAGUGAAGCGGGAAGAGCUCAAAUUUGAAAUCUUAAAGGGUUUCCCUUUACGAAUUGUAGUUUAAAGAAGUGUUUUCUGUUGAGGUUUUGGUAAAAGUUCUUUGGAAUAGGACAUCAUAGAGGGUGAGAAUCCCGUAUUUGACCUUUACUUUCAACUUUGUGAUACACUUUCAAAGAGUCGGAUUGUUUGGGAAUGCAGUCCAAAAUGGGUGGUAAAUUUCAUCUAAAGCUAAAUAUUGGCGAGAGACCGAUAGCGAACAAGUACCGUGAGGGAAAGAUGAAAAGAACUUUGAAAAGAGAGUUAAACAGUACGUGAAAUUGUCAAAAGGGAAGCGUUUGACACCAGUGUUGUCUUUCUGAAAAUCAAUUAAAGAACUGUUUAUGCUAAGUUGUUUAGACUUUAUCAGCUAACUGUUUAGUUUUGAGCUUUUCUUUAAUGCACUUUUCAGUUAACAAGUCAACAUCAAUUUCUUUUGCUGUAAAAAAGCUUGAGGAAGGUGGCUUGAGAUUCGUCUUAAGUGUUUAUAGCCUCUUGCCUAUGCAGUCGGAGAGAUUGAGGUCUGCAGCGUAGAUCCUUCGGGGCUAAAUGCAUUUGUGCUAAGUUAUAGCAUUUUAUAGACAACUUGUUGACUAUGAUUUGUCUUGUAGCUUACUCGCUUAUGUUAUUUUACCUACGCUUAGGAUGUUGAGCGCAUGUCUCUCUCU
rnacentral:rRNA from 1 species